AGUGAACGCUGGCGGUAGGCCUAACACAUGCAAGUCGAACGGCAGCACAGUAAGGGCUUGCUCUUACGGGUGGCGAGUGGCGGACGGGUGAGGAAUACAUCGGAAUCUACUUUUUCGUGGGGGAUAACGUAGGGAAACUUACGCUAAUACCUCAUACGACCUACGGCUGAAAGCAGGAGAUAUUCGCACCUUGCGCGAUUGAAUGAGCCGAUGUCGUAUUAGCUAGUUGGCGGGGUAAAGGCCCACCAAGGCAACGAUCCGUAGCUGGUCUGAGAGGAUGAUCAGCCACACUGGAACUGAGACACGGUCCAGACUCCUACGGGAGGCAGCAGUGGGGAAUAUUGGACAAUGGGCGCAAGCCUGAUCCAGCCAUACCGCGUGGGUGAAGAAGGCCUUCGGGUUGUAAAGCCCUUUUGUUGGGAAAGAAAAGCAGCAGGUUAAUACCCCGCUGUUCUGACGGUACCCAAAGAAUAAGCACCGGCUAACUUCGUG
rnacentral:rRNA from 1 species